rnacentral:tRNA from 1 species
GGUCCCGUAGUGUAGCGGUUAUCACGUCGCCCUGUCACGGCGAAGAUCGCGGGUUCGAUUCCCGACGGGACCG